rnacentral:rRNA from 1 species
AGUGAACGCUGGCGGUAGGCCUAACACAUGCAAGUCGAACGGCAGCACAGUAAGAGCUUGCUCUUACGGGUGGCGAGUGGCGGACGGGUGAGGAAUACAUCGGAAUCUACUUUUUCGUGGGGGAUAACGUAGGGAAACUUACGCUAAUACCGCAUACUACCUACGGGUGAAAGCAGGGGAUCUUCGGACCUUGCGCGAUUGAAUGAGCCGAUGUCGGAUUAGCUAGUUGGCGGGGUAAAGGCCCACCAUGGCGACGAUCCGUAGCUGGUCUGAGAGGAUGAUCAGCCACACUGGAACUGAGACACGGUCCAGACUCCUACGGGAGGCAGCAGUGGGGAAUAUUGGACAAUGGGCGCAAGCCUGAUCCAGCCAUACCGCGUGGGUGAAGAAGGCCUUCGGGUUGUAAAGCCCUUUUGUUGGGAAAGAAAAGCAGCAGGUUAAUACCCCGAUGUUCUGACGGUACCCAAAGAAUAAGCACCGGCUAACUUCGUG